CAAACGGCCCUUUUAAGGGCCUACAAAAGUAUUCGAAAGGAUGAACU
rfam:Hordeum vulgare subsp. vulgare, WGS project CAJW01000000 data, contig: morex_contig_2545413